rnacentral:lncRNA from 1 species
GGGCAGGACUAAUCGGUGCCAGGUGCCUUGUAGACGUGCCAGGCUGACAGGUGUCCCACUCUCUCUGUGGGAGGACGAGUUCAUAACACAUCCUUGCCUAGUGCAUAUCUGAAUCUCAUUUCUGGAGCUGUACCUAGAGACGGCAGCCUUUGUCUGUGGUGGUGGUGGGGGGGGGGGGGGACGAGGACCACACUGGAAAGUGGGAAAAGAGUUUGAGUGAUCAGUGCCUUCCUCAACUGAAAAAUACUAAGAAGUCACCUGGAUUUGGAGCUGAUACUCACUAAGUACAGGAAGUAUUAAGUAUCACUAAGUACAUGAUAGCUAUCUUUUGGUGGUUUUCAAACUGGUUAUUGUAAGAUUCUAUUUUCCAGAUUUACUCUACUUUGACCCUUCCUAUAUGAAAGAGCGGUUGGUCUGGUUACACUGGGCGUGGGGGGUCCAGAAUGCUGUGGGUGUGGCGUCUUCCUCGGCUGCUCCCACACAGCACCCCUCCUUCCUGCAUCUUUGAGCCACGAGCUCCUCAAAAUGUGGAACAUCCUGAGAAACACUGAACACAUACUGCCUCUGAUUUUACAAGAGGACGCUGAGGCUGGGGGAUGAACCGAGGUGCCAAGGUCUUGGUGCUGGGGCUGCUGGGGCUGCCGGGACGGUCAGGAACCAGCCACCGUUUGGACAGCACAUGUUCACUCUCCUCGACAGGAAGUAAACAUUUAAACGAUUUUGACCAAGAAUGUAAAGCCAUGGAUUGAGAUAACCCACUUAAAGCCAGCAGAGCCCUUCAGGGCUUACUCUUUUUCCUGUCGAUUCAGUAUUUUGGAUUCUGCAAACAAAAAUAUUCUGGAACAGGAGAUUUGGUUUGAUUGACAUGCCUGUACUGGUAAUAGGAGAACUUGGAGAGCUGAGUUCCCUCCCGUCCUCCCCUCCACGCAUCUCUUCCAGGCCUUCAGCGAGCUUCCCAGAGAGAGCCGUGGGUCAGCGCAGGAGGAACAGGACCGGCUCCAGUGACACAGAGAGCCCUGGAGCUUGCCUCCCACAGCCGGGGAGAGACAGCCAAGCCGGCAGAGCCUGUGACUGUCUGCUGAUGUGCCUCUGGAGCCGAUCCUCCUCCGUGGGCUGAAGCUGUGACUCGGGUCCCGCCUUCCAGCGCCAGUCUGUCAAUGAGCAGCAUUUCUUCUUGUCAGCAGCAGGCUUGUGUUCUCGCUGGGAGCCCGAGGGAGACGAGAACUCAGUUACUCACAGAGAGCCAAGAAGGAGGGGUCAGGAGGACCCCAGUGUUUAUAGAACCACUUGUAUUCAACUUCAGAUUAGUCCUACAUAUUUUUAGCUGUUGGGGAGAGUUCUUCUGAUAAGCUCCCAGAUAAGCAUAUGUUGUAAACACACAAUAAAUGGGUUCCUG